AGUAUGAGGAGGAUAUGCUUGGAAUGCAAGGAGAGAUGUCUUGCCAGCAUAUUUCUCUUUGAUUCGUGGUUUUGAAGCAUCCUUACAAAAGAGUUACUCAGUUUCAGCAGCGGUGGCCAUAGCUGCAAAACCGAGGAAGCAGCAGGAAUGAAACCUCUCAAGGCACAGCCUGGGCUCCUUCAUGUUGCACAGCACAGAUAAAACACACCUUGUCCUAGCUGUGCAGAAGGUACAGCUUUGGCUCCUACAAGCUCUCAAGAAAAUGUCUGCAUUCAGGAAACUGUACUGUCUGGGUUUGAGAAGGAAAUGUUCCCAAUGUACCCCUGAAAAAGGUUUCAGACCAAGUUCAGUUCUGGUGCAGGUAGCAAGAUUCCACUUCCACGAGAUUUCACGCAUCUGUCAGAAGCUCAGCAGCCUCCUUUCCUGUUAGUGCUAUGCUGUCUUGGAUCUUGCUCUUCAAAGCCUUUGGCAUAGAAUGGAAACGAUUUGGAUGUCUGUUUUGGCAUUUGAAAUUCACAUUGUCAAGACUUUGUGCAGUGAUAAAACAGAAGAAAUGGUAUGAGAAAGUACACAAGAAGCUCCUGUUACAUCAGCUGUGACUUUUGAAUAACCACAUAGAAGAAUUCUGAAGAAAUGGUGCUGGAGCUUCAAGGGGUGAACUAAUGCCAAGUACCUGUCAACAGAGAUGCAAGCAAGGAAUGCAGUGCUGGUGUAGAAAUUCAUAUACAUAAGGAAUGCAGAAAUCUGACAAAGCAAGGCAGAGAGCCUCCAGUUAUCACCGUUCCAGGCAUAAUCUAUCCACAUAGGCAGAAUCAGAGAGUACAAAAGAUCAGCCAGGGAUAGGCUGAAGAUGUAGACUGCUAAUUCAUUCUUUUUUCUCACCUGAAUGCAAGAUGCAUAGAGGGAUAUGCAGUUAAUGGGAAUACUGAUGAUCAUCACAGUGCUGUACACAAAUGGAAACAAAUACUUAUCCAGAGUGUGAUCAUCAUGGCACUUAGCAGUGUUGUUCAUUGUCCGCCCUGAGUAUUAUCUUUGGGCUAAUUCCAGUCUGGAUGCAAUGAAAAACCCUCUGUAGUCUGAUGGACGGUCAUCUGUUAGUUCUUCAGGACCUGGUUGGUAAAACUCCAGCCUUCUGUUACCAAAAGGAAAAAUACCAGCUAUAAUAACAUUUUUUUGGUGUUUUUUUUUUUGCUUCUUGAUGGGUGUGGGGGUUUUUUGGCUGUUGUUGGUUUGUUGG